rnacentral:rRNA from 1 species
CCUACGGGUGGCAGCAGUGGGGAAUAUUGCACAAUGGGCGCAAGCCUGAUGCAGCCAUGCCGCGUGUGUGAAGAAGGCCUUCGGGUUGUAAAGCACUUUCAGCGGGGAGGAAGGCGGUGAGGUUAAUAACCUCAUCGAUUGACGUUACCCGCAGAGGAAGCACCGGCUAACUCCGUGCCAGCAGCCGCGGUAAUACGGAGGGUGCAAGCGUUAAUCGGAAUUACUGGGCGUAAAGCGCACGCAGGCGGUCUGUCAAGUCGGAUGUGAAAUCCCCGGGCUCAACCUGGGAACUGCAUUCGAAACUGGCAGGCUAGAGUCUUGUAGAGGGGGGUAGAAUUCCAGGUGUAGCGGUGAAAUGCGUAGAGAUCUGGAGGAAUACCGGUGGCGAAGGCGGCCCCCUGGACAAAGACUGACGCUCAGGUGCGAAAGCGUGGGGAGCAAACAGGAUUAGAUACCCCUGUAGUC